rnacentral:lncRNA from 1 species
CAGCUUUUUGCUUGGGACCAUGCAUGUUACCUUUAAUUGGGUAAUUUACGCAAUUGGUCCCCUCCUUUGUGCUAGCCUUCAAUCGGGCCAUAUUUAAGUUUUUUAUAUUAUUUUAAAUUGGCCCUGCAGUCUGUGUGCUAUUUCAAUUUGCCCCCUUUGCGCGGUAUUUUAAGAUUUGGGGCAUUUUUAAUUUUAGAUCUCGGACAUUUAUAUGCAAUUAAUUUUAGUCCAAAAUUCUGUUUCAAUAAUUUGUUUUACUUGUAAGUUAUCUCUUGAAUUUUGUUUCUUCUCUCAAUUAAGUUUCAGUUAUUCUUUUUAGAAUAAACAUGUUUCUACAUAUUAUUUUGAUUUCAUACUUUUGUAAUUAUUACUUUUCUCUUUUCUUUUUUUUUUCACGUGCAUACCUGUUUAUAUGAAAGACCUUUAUAUUAUUAUUACUACUAUAUGUAUAUAUU